AAGAAGAUGGUUCAAAGUGGAAGUGGGGCAAGAUCUCUUUGUUGUUGCAGCUAGCUCUCAAGGAUGAUUGAAAUGAAGAAGUAAGAAAGAAGAACUGAUAAGCAAGGAGUCACUUUCCGAUCAGAUAAUGAACCAUACAAGAAACACAUGGAGCAAUAUGUGAACAAGAUAAUGAAGAUGAUGAAGGAUGAAAAGCUAUUUGCUCCACAAGGAGGUCCAAUCAUCUUAGCUCAGAUUGAAAAUGAGUA